AUUGAACGCUGGCGGCAGGCUUAACACAUGCAAGUCGAGCGGGGUGAUGGUGCUUGCACUAUCACUUAGCGGCGGACGGGUGAGUAAUGCUUAGGAAUCUGCCUAUUAGUGGGGGACAACAUCUCGAAAGGGAUGCUAAUACCGCAUACGUCCUACGGGAGAAAGCAGGGGAUCACUUGUGACCUUGCGCUAAUAGAUGAGCCUAAGUCGGAUUAGCUAGUUGGUGGGGUAAAGGCCUACCAAGGCGACGAUCUGUAGCGGGUCUGAGAGGGUGAUCGGCCACACUGGGACUGAGACACGGCCCAGACUCCUACGGGAGGCAGCAGUGGGGAAUAUUGGACAAUGGGGGGAACCCUGAUCCAGCCAUGCCGCGUGUGUGAAGAAGGCCUUAUGGUUGUAAAGCACUUUAAGCGAGGAGGAGGCUCUUUUGGUUAAUACCCAAGAUGAGUGGACGUUACUCGCAGAAUAGGCACCGGCUAACUCUGUGCCAGCAGCCGCCGUAA
rnacentral:rRNA from 1 species